AUGCCGUCGUCCGUCUCGCACACGAAGGAGCAGUCCGUCUCCAACACGAACACGAGUGGGGAACUAAAAAGCGGCGCGUGGGCUGAUGUCGAGGGCGAGGCAGCUAUGCCUCUACACCGGGCGUUCCUGGAUGGGAGGGUGUUCGCAGAGGCCGCGUAUGGUGGCAGGGAGUUCCUGUUCGACUUCCUAUGGAUGGUGCGCAUCGACGCUGGCACCGCCGAGGAGGUCGCCAUGGGCUGGAUUGAUGACCGCGGGGCCUGCUUCUUCCCUGUGCCAAAGAGCGGGAGGAAGAGGAAGAGGGGCGAGCCUGAGCUGGAGGAUGGGGCGUCGUCCGGGGUGGAUGAGAGGUCUAGCGAGAGCAGCGACACGGUGGAGUCCUCAAUCCAGCCUAAUCCCCUGCCUCUCUCAAGCACUCCCCGUGCAGCAGGCCUGCCCCGGGUGGGCGGUGGGGUGGCGAUCACGGCGGUGCACAAGGUCUUGCAGGGUCCCCGGUCCAUGGUGUUCCAGAUGCAGGGCCAGCUCCUAGCCGCUGCGCGCGGCACCGACGAGGGCAAUGCCAAGUUCGCGUGGUAUGGCGCUCCGUCGGCGGAUGUGGCCGCGGCGGUGGAGCACAGGUUCGGCAGGAUGAACAGCCAGUGCGAGGAUGCCGCCACCGCUAUGGACAACAUGGACGGCGUCGCGUUCUUCGGCUGCGUCCUCACCGUGAACUACGCCUUCCCUGAGAAAAUCAAGGGAGGGGAGCAGGGAUGGGCCGUACAGCCAGCUUGA
rnacentral:rRNA from 1 species